rnacentral:rRNA from 1 species
AGAAUCAACGCUGGCGGCGUGCCUAACACAUGCAAGUCGAACGCGAAAGUGGAGCAAUCCAUUAGUAGAGUGGCAAACGGGUGAGUAACACGUGGGCGACCUACCUCAGAGUGGGGGAUAACCUUCCGAAAGGAGGGCUAAUACCGCAUGACAUCCCGUGUUUGGAUACACGGAGAUCAAAGCCGGGGAUCGCAAGACCUGGCGCUUGGAGGACGGGGCCCGCGUCCGAUUAGCUAGUUGGUGAGGUAACGGCUCACCAAGGCUCCGAUCGGUA